rnacentral:tRNA from 3 species
GGGCCGUUAACUCAGGUGGUAGAGUAUCUGCCUUUUAAGCAGAGAGUCGCUGGUUCGAACCCAGCACGGCCCACCA